AUUGUACAACCACCGUUCCAAAUUAGUUGACUCAGAUUUUUCUAGAUACGGAUGUAUCUGGACACGUUUUGGAUACAUCCGUAUGUAGACAAAUCUGAGUCAACUAAUUCGGGGCGGAGGGAGUAUAUA
rfam:Triticum urartu cultivar G1812 contig873322, whole genome shotgun sequence.